rnacentral:piRNA from 1 species
UGGCUGGUCAAGAAUGUCAGCAGAGC